ACAGCAUUUGCACCCGAAAUCAUCAGCCAGAAGAGCUCGAGGAUUUUAAGGUUUUUUUUUUCUUUGACAUACUGCUUAUGUGAUUAGCUGAUUCACAGACAAAAACUGUAUUUCACCGUCUUCUUCUCCAGAGGAUAUUCCCUCUGCUGCUUGGAUGUACGGUGCACAGCAGAUGUGCAGAGGAGCAGCUGCCUGCAGACAGAGCUGUCUGCUGCUCUACAGCUGCUAUCAAACAGCUCACCAUGACUCCUUCUAGCUUCCAGCAACCAACCUGCAUACAUCCUCCCAGUUGCCAUGGAAAUGGAGACUGGCAUGAGUAGCACCCAGCCAGUCAAAGACAUCAGAGCAGCAGAAGGAACAUGAGACUACCGCUGGUGAAAGUGAUUUAUUGAGCGUGUGUUCAAAGUCCAUCUAACUAUGACAAGCCUGUAAGGACGCCACAAGUUAAAAUACUGGUUGAAGGAGCUACAGUCCAUUACAGUGCAUGUAUUAGAUUUUAAUAAACAAAAGACAACAUUUUUUAUUGAAAUAAAAUAAAAAUAUUUCAUACAAAAUUAAUAUUAAACUCCUACAUGCUGUAUUUGUACAAACAGUUCUUUAAUAAUUGACUUUUCAGCUUUUAGAACCUUUUUCUCUUGUCGAUUUGCCUUUUAGCGACUGAAAAACUCACCAGGCACCGAGCCAAGCCGCACUGAGCAACACCUUUCCCUGAAUUAUAACUUUCAACUAACCUUCAAACCCUAGUGCAUAAUUUUAAUCCUAUUUUUAUAUCAAUAAGUCAAGCCAGGCAAUUAUCUUUUCUCUGCAUGCUCUGCUGUCAGAGAGGAGAAUAAUAGCAUUUCCUCUUGUGAGAAGGGUACGAAGAAAGAGAGGAGACAGAGUCGGGGAGGGAAAAAAAAGCAGAAAAAGAGACUGAAGAUGCUAUCUAAAGACAUUAAUGCAGCAAUGAAUUAUUCAGUAAUGACUACAAGAUCUGUCAUGAAAAAAAGGAGAAAUCUGCUAACAUCUGCACUGUGUUUCUAAAGGGGGCUGAGCAGUGCAGGGCAUUGAUGCCAGAACGCCUCUGAAGAUAAACAUGACAAAUUGGCAGAUCAUCUGUUCAAUUAGGGUAGCAGAGCAGGUGCGCCGGUGAGGUGGCUGUGCCACAGGAUGACACACUUAUUAAGCCAAACCAGAGGCAUGAUGGGAAUACCUUGUUUGCGUGACAGUGAUUUAGAGCGAUGCACCAGAAAGAUACCACACAGAAAAAAAACAACACCAACAUGAAAAAAAGAA